GUCUACGGCCAUUCCACCCUGAACACACCCAAUCUUGUCUGAUCUCGGGAGCUAAGCAGGGUUGGGCCUGGUUAGUACUUGGAUGGGAGAAAACUAAUUGAGCUUUUGUUU
rnacentral:rRNA from 1 species